UUAGCACUUCAUACAAUUAGUAAGGACUACAUCAUAAAUAAAUAUAGAAAUGCAAAUGAUGUUAAAAUCCUCACAAGCGUGUUAGAAAUUGAUAAAUUAGAGGAAACAACUUAUUUUGUAGAAAAGGAGUACAUUGAACUAUGUAUGAAAGGGUACGCAAUACCGGAAGAGAGAUAAGGGAAUGAAUUUCUUGCUAAGUUUAAAUGUGUCUGUUUUUCACACUUUCGGCAGAAGAUCAUUUUAUCAGCCAGAUGAUAUUGAUUGGUCGUUAGGUAAGAUAUUCUUCUCUUACUUUGCAAUUGCCCGCAAACUUUUGUAUAUGACAAACUUGAACGACAAUCAUCUACCUAAUACAAAAUCAAUGACACAAUAUGAAAAAAGUGAGAGUGUGCAGUUUAACGGCCUAUUUACCUGUUUAACUGAAAGAAACGAAAUGCAGUCCGUUUUGAGUUUUUUUGGUAGAAAGAAAAAUCUUGUUAAAGCGGCUUCUUUAAAGGAUAUCAUAAGUACUUGCAAAAAGAGGUUCAAUGAAAACUGACUAUUUAGAAUUUGGAAUAUUGAAGGUUUUAUGCGCCAAAAAUGACCAUGCAAAAUAUUUGUCAGCGAAGAUGAUUAUUAAUUACUAUAAAGAUUUAUUCCUAAUUGAACAGACCGAGGAAUUACGUGCAGAUGCCACACAAUGGGGUCAGAGUAUUACACACAUGAUAGCAACCAACCAAAGGAUUUUCCCUAGUCUUGAAUACUCCAUAGGAAACCUUUAGUUUGCCGUCGGUGAUAUCCUACAGGCCAAAAAUGUUUUUAUGCAUUACUCCCAAAGAUAGACAAGAACAACAAAUGUGACAAACAAGAUUUAAGAUAUUUUCCAUAAAAAAGCUUGUGUAAGCUAUAUAAAGUGUCGCUUGAAAAGAUUGGAACGAAAGGAUGGAUCCUGCAAGGAAGAAACAUUACGGACGUUAAAAUGUUUAGAAAACUUUAUUGCAAACAUGUAAAGCAGAGUUUAAAGAACUUGAGCUACUGACACUUACAUUAACAAAAGGUUAAUUUUAAAAC
rnacentral:lncRNA from 1 species